UUUUUUUUUUAAUUAAACAAAAAACAAGAUUUUGGCUUUAGAUUACAGCAUCUGGAGUGGAAGUUAAAUUUAUUUGGUUGUCGUUUUCAACACAAGUCAAGUGUGUCCCCGAAAAAUGGUAGCUAUAUAUUCCAUUUGUGAUGUUAUAAGGGCUCAAAAAUGCUGGAAAAAAACCAAAGCAAAUUUUAAAAGCAUAGUUUCAACCCACUUUAUGUACCAACCCAUGCCCAAGAUCCUGUGGCUAGGAAUAUGUUUAUAGUAUGAAAGGAAAACUUUGCAUAGCGUCAUUAAACAUACUACAGUUGUCUGUUGGGUGGGAGGCAUCAAUUGAUAGCUCAUGAGAGAUUUGGAAUUAAUCUUAUUUAUGAUUACUUACAGAGCUAUUAUAUUAUAUACCACAUUAAAGGGGGUGCCUUGAAAAUGUUUAAAUGAAUUAAAUUUAUUCAACAGUAUUUUGGGUGAUCUUUGAAGAGACCUGGAUCACUUACACUCAUUUUAGGUUUAUUCAGCUUAGAAACAUAAGCUCUCCUGCUGACGUAACAAUGUACUGCAUUUUUGGUUGAUUGAUUAGUUCAAAGUCAUCUUUUGAGAUAGUCAAACAUGAAACUAACUGAGUUUAACUCUAACAAUGCACGUUGGGAAGUCUGCCUAUAUGCUUGUUUUGUUUCUUCUAAGCUUAUUUUAAUGAGUUGUGUGAACUCUAACGCAGUUUAUUUUUUCAGCUCAUCAAUAUAGGUCAAAAUGUCUCGUUACAAGAACUUUUCUUCUUUUUGACUUCUAAAGUGAUCUGAACAAACGACUUUUAAGUCCAACUAACUACAAAUGAGCAAAACUCAUUAGAUGAACUAAAAUAACUAAGUUGAUUUAACAAAAUUCCUUUAUGAUGUUUUGCAGUGCGUAUCAUAUUAUUUUUAAGGUCUUUUGUGUAUGAGCAGAAUAACAGCUGAAUAGAUCUAGGGCUAUUCUUUAAAAUUUUUCUUACUUUUGUUACCAACAAACAAAUCAGAUCAGGGCUAAUCAGAAAACAUUUAAAUCUAUAGUCACUGAUUUGCUGCAUAUAUUGUAAUUAUGAGACAAGAUAUGUGAGACUCUGAGUUAUUCUACACACGAACCACAUUAUAUGACUGACCAUAGGCUGCUAAUGCUCAUAACAAGUUACAUUGAUAACAGAUAUUCUAAAUAAAUAUGAAAAAUCAUUAAAAGCUUUUCUUCUUAAUAACAUAUAAUUUUAUUCAUGUGAAUUAUCAUAAUGAAAAAUAAGAUGAUGUGUGAACUUUGUACAAUUAUAAAGACAAUUCCUCAAACCUUCUUCUAUAAAGAUUCAUCCAUAUUCUCUUUGAUGAGUCUGUGAGAUUUAACUGUCUUUCUCAUCAGUGUCUAAUGAUUCAUGCUUUUUGCUGUUCUAAAGUUUCACAGAGAUAAAAAGUCCCUUUUGACUAAAGAUUCUUCCUCCGUUUAUUUUGAAGAACUAACAGUUGGAAGAGAAGAGGAAGUAAAGAUGGAGACAAGCGUGGGAAGAAAAUUUACUCAAAGAAAAGAUUCCUGUGAAAGCAGCAUCUUUCAUACCAUACAGUACAAUUAAGCCUGAGAAGAUUCUUUAGCUAACAGUUUCUGCUCAAAUUAUACUUGCUACUGACCAGAUUUUAUAGACAAGUGGGAAAAAAAACAUCAGGAGAGGAAAAGGAGGAAAUUUAGUAAUGUGUAAUUGCUGGUACAUAAUUAUGUGUCACAUGAAACAAAGCGUCAUUUACUUUAUUACCAUCAUCAUCAUUAUUAUUUAUCUUAAUUUUUCACUAAAAGUUCUUUAACUGUGUUCAGUAGUAUAAUAGCUUGAUGAUUUAGGACUCCUGUCUUUGCAGUUAAAACCACAUAAACAAACACAUUUAGUGCCUCAAACCCUCAUAUUUACUGCUAACGUCUCCAUGGUCUUAUUUCUUCAUAGAAAAACACACAUUGUGCAACACAUGCAGCUCCUGUCACAUGUGGACUCUCUGCAGAAGAAGCAUGUCUAGAGUAAUGCGGCCAACCAGUUGCCCUCUAGGAGCCAACUUGAGUGCAAUUUUGCUGUUUGUUGACUUUGCCACAGGAAGGUCAUUGUACAGGCUGAAUUUACCAUGUGCAUACUAGAGAGGGUUUGAACUUGAAGGAGAUGCUACAGGGAUUUUGACUGCAACUUUACAUAAUGCAAAGAAUCUUUCCAACUAUUAUGCACUACCAAAGAGAAAGCCAGACACUCUCAUUGUGUCUACGACAUAAGAGCUGUCGUUGCACCCAGUCACCUUUAAUAAUACAGGUUUUGAGAAAGCCAGUUUUUAUGCUACAGAGUAUUAUAACCUUUUGAGAUAUUCAAAACAAUCCUAUGCUUAAUGUCAACAUUCCCUAUCUUUAGAUUUGUUAUGAUUAGUUUUUUGAGAUGCUUCCAAUGUUUCUGGCUCUGGGAUAAUAGAGUUCAGGAUCCCUCAGCAACAACUCUGCUGAGGACCUCAAGAGCAAGGCAGAUAAUACUCAGAAGCCAUUAUUAGAAUAUUUGUAUUUGUAUUAAAUUGUGUUAUGAGCUAAAACAGGAUGAUAGCGGAAUGCACUUAAUAUAAACCAGCUAAGAAACUUAUUUGCCACUUGUAAAUAUGCAUAGUAUUUAAAUAUAUUUAUAGUCACGGGGAGCAAAGGCUGAAAAAUCUAAAAUAUAUAUAUAUCUAAUCAGGGCAUAUAGCAUACAUCACAUUACUUUUAUUCGCAUCAUUACAACAGAUCAAGCAAUGUAUAUGCAAUAGGGCAGUUUAAAUAGCUAAUUAAUAUUUAUAACAACAAAUAAUGAAUUUGCUUUGACAGCUGAAACAUUGGACAAUUACAUCUGAUCAACAUUAUCAAUACCAUUUGCAGUAAUACUUUUCUCAACAGUUUGUGCAGUAUCAGUUUCAGUAUCAUGUGUAAAAUGUAAUUCUCAUGUGCAAUAUUUUACUUUUAUGUGCAGCUUAGUCAGUGUAAUGUUAUUACUGACACUGGAAAAUGGAAAAAAGAGCAAAUUUUCAAACAAGGGUGUGAAGUCAUGCUUUAGGACCUCUAUAGAAACUAUAAAUACUGUCUAUAUGUUGUCACCACUGUUCCCUCUAAGCUGCGCGCGUGCGCAAUUGCGCAAUUGCGCACUGCUGACACGGUCUCCGCGCACAGAAAAUCUGCACUGCGCACAAAAAAAAAAAAUCCAACCUAAAUUGUAAAUAAAAUAAACACGUAACAAUUCAUUCUGUGCUAUUUUUCAAUGUGAGUCAGUGAGUGACCGGUGACUGGCUGCUGCAGCCAAUGAUGCGAUUCACAUACGUAUUUACCAUAGACUGUAUACAAUGGUAUUUACGCAGCUAAUCAACGUCAGGCGUCCUUAUGUACAGCUACCUUUGUUCUCAUAGAUAUGAAUGAGUAGAUAGGACACGCCCCUUUGAGCUGCGGCUACAGCGAGGCUAAGCUAGUGGGGGCAAAGUUUCAGUGCAUUCUGUUGAUGUAGACGGCGUGAAAACGGAAACAACAAGUAUGCCGUCUCACUGUGCUGCAUACAGUUACACACUGCGUCGUAGGAUUGAGACAAGGAAACUUGGAAUGACUUUUCAUAGGUUUCCCAGAGACUAUGGGUUGAGGAGGAAGUGGAAGUUUGUCGGCUUAGACCUGGUGUCAUUCCAUCAGUGUUAAACUUCCCGGCUCAUCUUUGAAGAGUACGUGCCAGAAAGACCACGACCAAGCAGCCUUGAGAUCUUAGGCAGCGUCUCCCUGAGGUCCCUCUCUAUCUCCCCACACAUCCACCAACCACUGGAACACAUCUCCAAAGUUCUGCUGGGCAGCUCAGCUUCCCCUCAGAAGAAGUGCUGCCACCUGCCAGAUGAAGGAGCCUUUUGAGAGGCAGCUGGCAUCGUGAUUGGACUGUACUUUGGUCUGUUCCAAUCCAGCUUCAGCUCCAGAGACGGCAGGCGGGACGAGUCAACGGAGGCCGGGUGGACGAAGACAUGCAGCUGAGUACAAUCCAGAAAACAACAGAGGAGGAGUGCAGGGGUCCAGAGCCAGAACAACCAGAGUAGCAUCGUAUGUCUCUUAGAAAACAUCAUAGUAUAGCCUUUGGGAUGAAAAAAUGCCAUCAUAUACAUCGUAUAUUGUACAAAUAACAAGUCAAAGGAAAGAGACAUACAUUGUAGAAUUGUAGUAAUUGUGGGCUGACUGACUGAUUAUCAGUGUUUUAUUUUUUACUGAUUUACGGUAAUAAAUACAUUUAAAAAUGGCACUACUUUGGCUCUGAACCUUUAUCUACCUGUGGUCGCUCUGUCUUCUGGAGUGAUUUGAUUGGUUAUACGUCACGAAUAAAACUCCUUUAACUUAACAUCUGUAAACAAAACAAAAACGUAUCAACAAAGUUUUCUGUUAGUUUGUGUUCUUCUAAGUUUAACUCCAAGGUUUUAAAUACUUUGAUUUACUGCAAAUGAAUAUCUACUCCAAAUGUCUCACUAAUAAUCAUUAUCAGCCUUAAAAACCCACAAAACACCCCUCUAUACUCAACCACACUUAGUACAGUCCGGUUCCCCCUUCUAUAAAUCUGCUUGGAAUCAUCCACUUCCUGUUUGUCAAAGUUGCCUUCUACCUGGACAGGUUUUGUUGGAGCUCAUGCAACAAACAUUUUGGGUAACUGCACUUUAAUAUGGAUGGAUGAUACUGAAUUAGAGUCUGUUUUAAUGAGACUGAGUUCAGAUGUGUAGCUCUGUCAUUAAAUAGGAAAUUGUUUCUCAGAAUUCACAGAGAAAAGUCUGAAAUGUUUGCUAGGUUAGCGUCCCACAUGUUCUUUGGCUCAGCUAAAGCUAACUCUCUGCAACUUCUGGAUCUCUUGAGUUGCUUGUUGUUAAAAUAUCUUGCUAGAGGUGCUGAAGCUCAGAAAGUCUGAGAUGUUUGUUCAGAAUAAGCUCAUUCUCAAGUCUUCUCAAGGCUUUUGUUUUAACUUUCCCCAAACUUAAGAGUUAAUGACAGAGCAGCACAUCCAGACUCAGUCUCAUUUAUGUAGAGAUUAAACUUCAGUGUCAUUCAUUGAUGUUAAAGUGCAGUUUUUCAAAUGUUUGUUGCACAUGCUCCCGACCAAACCAGUCCAGGUGGAAGACGAUGCGAAGAGAAAGCUCCAGAGGAUGAAUAUCACACAUUUACAUUGGAAAUAAAUGUCCUUUAAUUAGACAUUGUCAUGCAAAAGUUGGAUUUCCCUUUAAUGAUGUUCAAAUCUUUGUUGAUGUUGGUUUCUAAAUGUUUUUUGACACUCGGCCCCAAAGAUUAAAACCUUCUACAGCUCACAAGCUGCAACAAUUCACACAUUAUCAACUAUCUUUCUGACUAAACUAAGAUAAAAAGUGAAAAACUGCCUGAUUCCUGCAUCAUGAAUGUAAAUCUUUUUGGUUUUUAUGACGGUAAACUCAAUAUAUUUGGGUUUGAUAUUUUAUAAAACAAAACAAGAAAUGAAUUACUGGAGAAAAGGACAGAUUAAUGGACAAAGAAAAUGUGUUUUCCAACAGAUAUGGCUGAAUUACUCCAACAUUACAAGAUACAUACAAUUUAAAUUCUAUUUUAUUUAUAUAACGCCAGUUACAGGUCAAAUUGUCUCAAAACACUUUAUUUUUAUAUUUUUUUGUCAUACUUAAAAUGUGACAAAGUAAGAAAUUUAAAGCUCCUGACUAACCCAAUUUAUUAUUUGUUUUUAAGAGACUAAUGGACAAUUAAAAUAACUUUCUCCACUAAAACUAAUAAACAUGAGGUCAAAUAGAAGGAACAGUUUUAAAUACUGCAGUCCCACGACGACAAGAAUAAAGUUUGUCAGAAAAAUGUAAAUCUGCUGGUGCAUUCCAUGAAAGUCCUAAUAAAUGAUAAUAAAGUGUGAUACUAAAGGUUUGUGGUGCUAAAAAUGUCCAAGUAAAGAUAUGAAGUUGAACAUCUGGAUGGAUGAUGGAUGAUAAAAUUUGACCUCCCUUCAUUUCUCUGGAGCCGACUCCAUGGAUUUUAUGGAUGGUGGUUAAAGACCUGCUCUUCUAGUUGUCUUCCUUCUAGUCGCUGUAAAAAGUCCUCUACCUGGCCGACUUCAGCACCUCUUCAUGACAACUUGUUCUGCCUCCAACCUGGUGGAAACUGAAGAAACUCCAGAAAACCUGUCGAGACUUGAGGAACUCGAGACUCGAAGAACUCGU